rnacentral:tRNA from 1 species
UCUUAUGUAGUUUAACCAAAACUUUAAUUUUGUAAAUUAAAAAUAUUUUUAAAAAAUCAUAUGAU